rnacentral:rRNA from 1 species
AGUGAACGCUGGCGGUAGGCCUAACACAUGCAAGUCGAACGGCAGCACAGUAAGAGCUUGCUCUUACGGGUGGCGAGUGGCGGACGGGUGAGGAAUACAUCGGAAUCUACUUUUUCGUGGGGGAUAACGUAGGUAAACUUACGCUAAUACCGCAUACGACCUACGGGUGAAAGCAGGGGAUCUUCGGACCUUGCGCGAUUGAAUGAGCCGAUGUCGGAUUAGCUGGUUGGCGGGGUAAAGGCCCACCAAGGCGACGAUCCGUAGCUGGUCUGAGAGGAUGAUCAGCCACACUGGAACUGAGACACGGUCCAGACUCCUACGGGAGGCAGCAGUGGGGAAUAUUGGACAAUGGGCGCAAGCCUGGUCCAGCCAUACCGCGUGGGUGAAGAAGGCCUUCGGGUUGUAAAGCCCUUUUGUUGGGAAAGAAAAGCAGCAGGUUAAGACCCCGCUGUUCUGACGGUACCCAAAGAAUAAGCACCGGCUAACUUCGUG